UACGGAGGGUGCAAGCGUUAUUCGGAAUUAUUGGGUGUAAAGCGAGUGUAGGCGGCUUGGUUAGUCAGAUGUGAAAGCUCCGGGCUUAACCCGGAAAGUGCAUUUGAAACUGCCAAGCUUGAGUCCCGGAGAGGAAGGUGGAAUUCCCAGUGUAGAGGUGAAAUUCGUAGAUAUUGGGAGGAACACCGGUGGCGAAGGCGACCUUCUGGACGGAGACUGACGCUGAGACUCGAAAGCGUGGGGAGCAAACAGGAUUAGAUACCCGCGUA
rnacentral:rRNA from 1 species